GAUGAACGCUGGCGGCGUGCCUAAUACAUGCAAGUCGAGCGAACGGACGAGAAGCUUGCUUUUCUGAUGUUAGCGGCGGACGGGUGAGUAACACGUGGAUAACCUACCUAUAAGACUGGGAUAACUUCGGGAAACCGGAGCUAAUACCGGAUAAUAUUUUGAACCGCAUGGUUCAAAAGUGAAAGACGGUCUUGCUGUCACUUAUAGAUGGAUCCGCGCUGCAUUAGCUAGUUGGUAAGGUAACGGCUUACCAAGGCAACGAUGCAUAGCCGACCUGAGAGGGGGUUGGGCGACACUGGAAGUGAGCCACGGUCAAGACACCUAGGGAGGCAGCAGUAGGGAAUCUUCCGCAAUGGGCGAAAGCAUGACGGAGCAACGCCGCGUGAGUGAUGAAGGUCUUCGGAUCGUAAAACUCUGUUAUUAGGGAAGAACAUAUGUGUAAGUAACUGUGCACAUCUUGACGGUACCUAAUCAGAAAGCCACGGCUAACUACGUG
rnacentral:rRNA from 1 species